GAUGAACGCUGGCGGCGUGCCUAAUACAUGCAAGUAGAACGCUGAAGGAGGAGCUUGCUCUUUCCGGAUGAGUUGCGAACGGGUGAGUAACGCGUAGGUAACCUGCCUGGUAGCGGGGGAUAACUAUUGGAAACGAUAGCUAAUACCGCAUAACAGUAGAUAUUGCAUGAUAUUUGCUUGAAAGGGGCAAUUGCUCCACUACCAGAUGGACCUGCGUUGUAUUAGCUAGUUGGUGAGGUAACGGCUCACCAAGGCGACGAUACAUAGCCGACCUGAGAGGGUGAUAGGCCACACUGGGACUGAGACACGGCCCAGACUCCUACGGGAGGCAGCAGUAGGGAAUCUUCGGCAAUGGACGGAAGUCUGACCGAGCAACGCCGCGUGAGUGAAGAAGGUUUUCGGAUCGUAAAGCUCUGUUGUAAGAGAAGAACGAGUGUGAGAGUGGAAAGUUCACACUGUGACGGUAUCUUACCAGAAAGGGACGGCUAACUACGUG
rnacentral:rRNA from 1 species